GAUGAACGCUGGCGGCGUGCCUAAUACAUGCAAGUCGAGCGAAUGGAUUAAGAGCUUGCUCUUAUGAAGUUAGCGGCGGACGGGUGAGUAACACGUGGGUAACCUGCCCAUAAGACUGGGAUAACUCCGGGAAACCGGGGCUAAUACCGGAUAACAUUUUGAACCGCAUGGUUCGAAAUUGAAAGGCGGCUUCGGCUGUCACUUAUGGAUGGACCCGCGUCGCAUUAGCUAGUUGGUGAGGUAACGGCUCACCAAGGCAACGAUGCGUAGCCGACCUGAGAGGGUGAUAGGCCAAACUGGGACUGAGACACGGCCCAGACUCCUACGGGAGGCAGCAGUAGGGAAUCUUCCGCAAUGGACGAAAGUCUGACGGAGCAACGCCGCGUGAGUGAUGAAGGCUUUCGGGUCGUAAAACUCUGUUGUUAGGGAAGAACAAGUGCUAGUUGAAUAAGCUGACACCUUGACGGUACCUAACCAGAAAGCCACGGCUAACUACGUGCCAGCCGCCGCAGUAA
rnacentral:rRNA from 1 species